GACUGGAUGGCUCAUUGGCCACCACCGAAAGUGAAGUCGCCAUCCGCCAUCUUGCUACUCCCAAAACAACCAUGCCGACCUGUGCGUCAGUCGCUAAUUUCGUGGCUGGGAGAAAACAUUCCACAGUUUGAAGGUGGCUCGACGCUUGCUGGCGACUUAUUGCCGUGAUGCCGAGCAAGAGCGAAAUGAGCGGCAGCCGGCUUGACCGCAAGAGGCUCCGAUGACGGUCGGUGUGGGCGCGGCUUCAGUCGUGGCGACAGCGCUUCCUCGGCGACGGCGGCGACUCCAGAGAGAAGGCGGUCGGAGAGACGGGACGGGAUUCGGGGAUGUACUCCGUUUGGUAUUUAUCGAUAGAGCUGGAGUUGGACUUGGACACCCACAUUGGGCGGGUCGGACACUUGCCUUCUGGUCGAGCAGGAGACGAUGCACCGCCUCGAUGUCCGGCGACAUGAACCUGUCCUUAAUCCACGGCCUGCAGAAGUGGAACAGUGGCAAAAUAUUAACCAUCCUGCACUUGUCUUCCACUUUUUGUACCCUGACCCCGGUCUGUUUGACUUACUUGACCACACUGCGCAC